rnacentral:tRNA from 1 species
AUUGCGAUGGCAGAAAUAUGCAUUAGAUUUAAGCUCUAAAAAUGGGUAGAUGCCCUCGUGAUU